rnacentral:rRNA from 1 species
GACGAACGCUGGCGGCGUGCUUAACACAUGCAAGUCGAACGGAAAGGCCCUGCUUGCAGGGUACUCGAGUGGCGAACGGGUGAGUAACACGUGGGUGAUCUGCCCUGCACUUCGGGAUAAGCUUGGGAAACUGGGUCUAAUACCGGAUAGGACCGCACUUUAGUGUGUGGGGGGAAGAGUUUUCGGGGUAGGAUGAGCUCGCGGCCUAUCAGCUUGUUGGUGUGGUGAUGGCCUACCAAGGCGGCGACGGGUAGCCGGCCUGAGAGGGUGUACGGCCACAUUGGGAUUGAGAUACGGCCCAGACUCCUACGGGAGGCAGCAGUGGGGAAUAUUGCACAAUGGGCGCAAGCCUGAUGCAGCGACGCCGCGUGGGGGAUGAAGGCCUUCGGGUUGUAAACUCCUUUCGCUAGGGACGAAGCUUUUUGUGACGGUACCUAGAUAAGAAGCACCGGCUAACUACGUG